UUUUUUUGUUAAAAUCAAAUGAAAGGGAAAAGUAAUUUUUUGGGGAAGUAAUGAGUAAUGAUGAGUUCCGUGGUAUAGCAAAGAGACCAGCCCAAAAUCGAUCAGUGAGAUUGGUAAAGUAAAAUUGCACUCUCCCUCCCACCAGCCCAAAACCCAAGACUUAUGCUCAUGAGAGCCACGAAAGGGCAAAGCUACAGAGGGACUGAGCAUUCGAAGACCAGCAAAGUGUAUGAGAAAAAAGGAUGAGUGGGGCUUGUAACUGGACUAUCUAGUGGACAAACUCUAAAAACAAACUAUGUUUAUCACAUAUUGAAUCUUACGAUUCUUAUCAUCUCACGAAUUGCUCCAAGAUCUAUUCAAACAUCUACAAAAUUUUACUCGGUUACUACAAUUGUAAAAGAACAAGAACCUGGACACUUUGUAUAGAGGAUUUAGUGACUGGAGAAAGAAGGGAUUUAGUGGCUAAAGAAAGGUGUGAGGGGAGCCUUGGACAAUUAGGGUCAGAGAUCUUACAACCAUAAAUUUAUUGCAAUUCAAUUAUGUAAAUGCAUGUGUAUUGAUUGAUAUCCUUCUCUAUGUUGCUCUGCUAUCCACACACGUUGCAUUCUAUUUAUGAGUUUGGCUCAUUUUUUUAGUUACUGUUUGGAAAUGCUUAUAGCAGCGAUAAACAUUCAUAAUGUCAUAUGUUUAUAUAUAUAUCCUUGAUUUGAAUGACGUUUUUUUAAUUUAGAACCAUAUUUGGAUAAAAUGAUAACUUGCACUAAGGUAAGAUAUCAUAUAUGUAUGGCUCUAUGUUUAGAUAUCUAAUAUGAUAUGUUAGGAUUUGUUGCAGAACUUUAUAUAUAUAUAUAUAUAUAUAUUUAUAGAUAGAUAGUCAUUGGUCAUUUUAGUGUUGCAGUACAUAAUUUUGAGUUCCAUGCUAUGCUUCUUUGAAAAGUUAUAUAAUUCUAUGAUCAAUAAUGAAACAAUUGCCAACAUGUGAUAAGAAACUUAAACUAGAAACCAAUUUGGCAUGAGCUUGUAAAAUUGUAAAUAAGUAGUGGAAACCAAGUUCUUUCCACUUCAUCUUCUUAGCUCUAAUUACAUGUUUCUUCUCUUAUUAGUAGAAUGUUAUUUUUCCCAUCUAAAUAUUCUUACUGUCAGUUUUAGGCCCUUUCCAGUCACUUUGAUCUUGUACACUACUAGUUGAGAAUUUAUGAAAGUUGAAUAUUACUUGGCUCGUUAUGGUAGUGUUCUAAAUAUAUUGGUAUUGUUGGAUUGAGUUGAAAUGGCUAAUGACUGACCUUUGACUCAAGUUUUUUUUAUGUGAUCUAUUCAUUAUAUGCACAAUAAUGACUUCACAUUGUCAUGCAGCUUGUUGUGAGAUAAUGAAAUUCAGUGUCCCCAAGCCUUGAGUGUUUGUCCUUUAUUUUUCUUUAUGCUUUAUAUCAAUUGAAUGUUGCAAUUCUCUGCAUUUGUGCACAAAAUUUUAUUUUUCUGCUAUAGUUAUUGAUUUUUUUUAGAAUUUUGAAUGCUUGUGAUGUAUUUUCAGGAAUGAUUGUUCUUGGAACUACAAAAAACAAUAAAAUGAAAAGAGCCUUCAAGAGGGAGCAUGAAAUGGACGUGUUCAGAUAUUGCUGCAAACUUCUUUUUAUAUGUAAAUACGAACUAAGAGUACAAUUUUUGAUGUCAUGUGUAGACUUCUGGAUGUGGUUACUUUUUGUAUUAUGUUUUAUAUUGAUUUUGUACUAAAUAUUUUAUUUAGUUUGCAUUUGGUUUAUCUAUUUUAUAAAAAUUAAUUUUGAAA